CACAGAGGUCCCAAGCGUUGUUCGGAUUCAUUGGGCGUAAAGGGUGCGUAGGCGGCGCGGUAAGUCGGGUGUGAAAUCUCGGAGCUUAACUCCGAAACUGCAUUCGAUACUGCCGUGCUUGAGGACUGGAGAGGAGACUGGAAUUUACGGUGUAGCGGUGAAAUGCGUAGAUAUCGUAAGGAAGACCAGUGGCGAAGGCGGGUCUCUGGACAGUUCCUGACGCUGAGGCACGAAGGCCAGGGGAGCAAACGGG
rnacentral:rRNA from 1 species